CCUACGGGAGGCAGCAGUGAGGAAUAUUGGUCAAUGGACGAGAGUCUGAACCAGCCAAGUAGCGUGAAGGAUGACUGCCCUAUGGGUUGUAAACUUCUUUUAUAUGGGAAUAAAAUGUUCCACUUGGGGGUUUUUGUAUGUCACAUGUGAAUAAGGAUCGUCUAACUCCGUGACAGCAGCCGAUGUAAUACGGAGUCUGCGAGCGUUAUCCGGAUUUAUUGGGUUUAAAGGUAGCGUAGGUGGAUUGUGAAGUCAGUUGUGAAAGUUUGCGGCUCAACCGUAAAAUUGCAGUUGAAACUGGCAGUCUUGAGUAUAGUAGAGGUGGGCGGAAUUCGUGGUGUAGCGGUGAAAUGCUUAGAUAUCACGAAGAACUCCGAUUGCGAAGGCAGUUCACUGGACUGCAACUGACACUGAGGCUCGAAAGUGUGGGUAUCAAACAGGAUUAGAUACCCUAGUAGUC
rnacentral:rRNA from 1 species